UUGGACGCUGGCGGCAGGCCUAACACAUGCAAGUCGAGCGGAUGAAGGGAGCUUGCUCCUGGAUUCAGCGGCGGACGGGUGAGUAAUGCCUAGGAAUCUGCCUGGUAGUGGGGGAUAACGUCCGGAAACGGGCGCUAAUACCGCAUACGUCCUGAGGGAGAAAGUGGGGGAUCUUCGGACCUCACGCUAUCAGAUGAGCCUAGGUCGGAUUAGCUAGUUGGUGGGGUAAAGGCCUACCAAGGCGACGAUCCGUAACUGGUCUGAGAGGAUGAUCAGUCACACUGGAACUGAGACACGGUCCAGACUCCUACGGGAGGCAGCAGUGGGGAAUAUUGGACAAUGGGCGAAAGCCUGAUCCAGCCAUGCCGCGUGUGUGAAGAAGGUCUUCGGAUUGUAAAGCACUUUAAGUUGGGAGGAAGGGCAGUAAGUUAAUACCUUGCUGUUUUGACGUUACCAACAGAAUAAGCACCGGCUAACUUCGUG
rnacentral:rRNA from 1 species